rnacentral:rRNA from 1 species
AACGAACGCUGGCGGCAUGCCUAACACAUGCCAGUCGAACGAGACCUUCGGGUCUAGUGGCGCACGGGUGCGUAACGCGUGGGAACCUGCCCUUAGGUUCGGAAUAACUCCCCGAAAGGGGUACUAAUACCGGAUAAUGUCUUCGGACCAAAGAUUUAUCGCCUUUGGAUGGGCCCGCGUUGGAUUAGCUAGUUGGUAGGGUAAAAGCCUACUAAGGCGACGAUCCAUAGCUGGUCUGAGAGGAUGAUCAGCCACACUGGGACUGAGACACGGCCCAGACUCCUACGGGAGGCAGCAGUGGGGAAUAUUGGACAAUGGGCGAAAGCCUGAUCCAGCAAUGCCGCGUGAGUGAUGAAGGCCUUAGGGUUGUAAAGCUCUUUUACCCGGGAUGAUAAUGACAGUACCGGGAGAAUAAGCUCCGGCUAACUCCGUG